CCCUUAGAUGUUCUGGGCCGCACACGCGCUACACUGAAGGAGGCAGCGUGUACUCCUGGAUCGAAAGAUUUGGGUAACCCGCGAAUCUCCUUCGUGCUAGGGAUUGAGGUUUGCAAUUAUCCUUCAUGAACGAGGAAUUCCCAGUAAGUGCAAGUCAUAAGCUUGCGCUGACUACGUCCCUGCCCUUUGUACGCACCGCCCGUCGCUACUACCGAUUGAAUGAUUUAGUGAGGACUUCGGACUGGGACCGAUGCGGCUUUCGGGCUGCGUCGGUAUUCUGGAAAGAUGUCCAAACUGUAUCAUUUAGAGGAAGUAAAAGUCGUAACA
rnacentral:rRNA from 1 species